CGAUGCAACGCGAAGAACCUUACUACCCUUGACAUGUCCGGAACUUGCCAGAGAUGGCUUGGUGCCCGAAAGGGAAUCGGAACACAGGUGCUGCAUGGCUGUCGUCAGCUCGUGUCGUGAGAUGUUGGGUUAAGUCCCGCAACGAGCGCAACCCUUAUCAUUAGUUGCUACGCAAGGGCACUCUAAUGAGACUGCCGGUGACAAACCGGAGGAAGGUGGGGAUGACGUCAAGUCCUCAUGGCCCUUAUGGGUAGGGCUUCACACGUCAUACAAUGGUCGGUACAGAGGGUUGCCAAGCCGCGAGGCGGAGCCAAUCCCAGAAAGCCGAUCGUAGUCCGGAUUGUUCUCUGCAACUCGAGAGCAUGAAGUCGGAAUCGCUAGUAAUCGCAGGUCAGCAUACUGCGGUGAAUACGUUCCCGGGUCUU
rnacentral:rRNA from 1 species